rnacentral:rRNA from 1 species
AGUGAACGCUGGCGGUAGGCCUAACACAUGCAAGUCGAACGGCAGCACAGUAAGAGCUUGCUCUUACGGGUGGCGAGUGGCGGACGGGUGAGGAAUACAUCGGAAUCUACUUUUUCGUGGGGGAUAACGUAGGGAAACUUACGCUAAUACCGCAUACGACCUACGGGUGAAAGCAUGGGAUCUUCGGACCUUGCGCGAUUGAAUGAGCCGAUGUCGGAUUAGCUAGUUGGCGGGGUAAAGGCCCACCAAGGCGACGAUCCGUAGCUGGUCUGAGAGGAUGAUCAGCCACACUGGAACUGAGACACGGUCCAGACUCCUACGGGAGGCAGCAGUGGGGAAUAUUGGACAAUGGGCGAAAGCCUGAUCCAGCCAUACCGCGUGGGUGAAGAAGGCCUUCGGGUUGUAAAGCCCUUUUGUUGGGAAAGAAAAGCAGCAGGUUAAUACCCCGCUGUUCUGACGGUACCCACAGAAUAAGCACCGGCUAACUUCGUG